UAUUAGCUAGUUAUAAGUUAUAUUCCAUAAAUAUAUGAUAUGGCAACGAACUUUUCGUUUAUAUUAAAUGAUGAUUAAAGACAAAAGUAACACGUAAACUUGCUCAUAGUUUGGGUAUUUCACCUUUUUUGUAUGUUAACGGAUGCAAAAUAUCAUAGAUAUGUAUGACUCAAGAUUAAAUUGCAUCAUCACGUGUACAUACAUAUUACAAAAAAGGGUAUUAAUCAGCAUAUUCACAGAUAGAUUUUGUUAAAUCAACGUCAAAUUAGACGUCAGUGUAAUUAUAAGAAAAUAAAGCAUGGGAAUCCGGUGGGUAGUUAAAAACAUAUAUGUAUGAUAUGAUAUUGAGCAUAUUGUUGACUAGUUUAACAUAGAAAAAAAUGUAUUCAUUAGUUAAGUCGAGAAAGUAAAUAUCUCGAAGAUUUUUAUGGAUUACAUGACGAUUAAGAAGAUAAAGUGUAAUUAAGUAUAAACUAAACAGAGAUUAUGGUAUAAAAAAGGAGAUUAGAGAGAAGACUUUGGAGGCUAAGUGGCGCAUGGGAAUACCAACAGCCAAGCAAAUACACGAACGGGGCAACCAAACAAAGGGACGGGUCGUAAUAUUAUUUUGUCACUUGUUUGGAUUCUCUUUUUUUUUUUUUUUUUAUAAAAUAGAUUUUCAAUUAUUAGAUUAUAACUAUAAAUGAUACUCCCUCCGUAUUUGAGUAUGGACCCGCUUACCAUUAUUAACUUUACAUCCGUGUAAUAAAAUAAAUUCAAGAGUCAAUAUUGGCUAAAGCUCUAAACUAGUAAUAAUUAACUUUCCCAGCUUAAAUUACAUGGAGAAGUUGAGUUUUUUUUUUUUUUUAAUGAAAAUGUUGAAAAUGCUAUAUAUUGCAUGAUAAUCUCUAAGUAUCUUUAAGUAAUUUUAUUUAUGUAGGUUUCAAUGGAAAUGAAGAAAUAAGAAUUAGAUAUCAAAUAUUAAUUAUUUGAUUGUACUUACCAAUUAUUCAAAAAAUAAUAAGUAACAUCUUAGUUGGGACCUUGAGAUAUCCAAAAUCAUCAACCGAUAUUGUCUCCAAUAGAUAUGCAAGUCAUUUAAAAGCAAUCCCUAAGGGGUUGCGAUAUAAUUUGAAAAGAAGACAUUGUUCUAACAUUUAUAUAACGUUAACUAAAACAUAAUAUAUCGCUAAAACACAAUAAAACUUUUAUAUAAAUCAAUUACCGAAAUUAAUCUAAUCCUGUAAAUGAAAAAGCGUUUAAUCCGUAUAUGUGAUGGACAAUGUUGGUGUUGAAUCACACACUUGAAUCCAGUCCAAAUCGACAUUUUCAGUUGCCAUUUGCCAAGGCUCGAGUUCGACCUAAGGGUUAAGCUCAUUAUCGUGCAAGUCAUAUGUUAAAGUGAGCUUACCGAACUACCAAAGUGAACCCACAAACAAUCCAAGAAAAUGGAUAAAACGCCGAAGUCAAUACCAAAAUUGUGACCUCAAAAUUUCUGAAGUCGGCGGCUGUGUCGCCAAAUGAAAGUGUGAGCCCACCGAAAAGCCGGAAACUUAGAAGUAAGCUAGCUGCAUGUGCUUAUGGAAAGGGCGGAGCUCAUUUAAAACCGUUUGGCUUCUAUUAAUCAGAUGGGAAGUGAAUAGAAAUUGGAUUUGUGAUGCGUCAACUUGUUCAUCAAAUACAAUAAAUCUCUCAUACAUUUACUUUUGGGUAAAAAGGCUUGUCUACGAAGAUCUAUGACCUUUUUGAUAUAUAAGAUCCGAAAAAACUCUUUUGCAUGUAUCACAAUAUCCGUUUUCUGAUUUCUUAACAAAACUAAAUUGACAACAUAGCUUAUAUAUUUUCUUUUUGACGUCGGCAACAUAUAGCUUAACUCCAACAUAUGUAUAAGCUUGUCCCCAUUUAGCUAGAGUAAUGACGACCACUGAAUUUGAUAUGGAGAUUUGGCAAUUGGUACACGUAACCUCUAAAUGGAUCUUAAUUUUACGACAAUUUUUUUUACUUUCCAGUGUUUCCACGAUCAUGAAUGGUGAACCACUGAAUCUCCAAUAAAAUUUUAAUUCGAAAAUGAAAAAAAAAAAGAUACGCUUUACCAUUUUAGAUUUGUUUAUGAAAUUAAUUUUACUACAGACAAAAAUAAGGAAAAUGUAUGUACCGUAACGUAUAUGUAUUUAAACUAUGGGAAUAUAAAAUGGAGGCAACUGGGGGAGCUUGAUGCGGUUAGGGAAACAACGACGACCCUUUCGUGACCCUUUGAGCCACUUUCACUACAUUUACAUAUAUAUAUAUAUAUACAUUUACAUUUAUAUAAUAUAUAUAUAUAUAUAUAUAUAUAUAAUCGUUUUUAACAUGUACUAUACAUAAACGAACCAUGUCGAUCGUACUAUAUAAAAAUUUACAUUGACGACAAAAAAAAUAAGUAUAUAAAUUUUAGUAUGUAUUUAUCUUGAAAUAUAUGGAAAACAACCAUGUCGUCGUACUGCAUAAAAUAAAUUGAUGGAAAAAUAAGUAUGUAAAGUUAGUACGUGUACAGUGUACUGUAUCUGGAGAUUAAUUAAUCUUUCUACUAUGUUUUUUCUUUUAAAUCGUAUCCAAUAGUUAUCGAUCGGUACAAAGCAAUGGCCAGAAUAUCCCAAAUGUGUGUUUUAUUUGACUCACCGUCAAUUCAAACACAAUUAUCCUGGCGAUAAUCAUAAUUCUAAUCCCUCUUGUUGUUUUAAAAAAAAAAUCAUGUUGUUUUGUCUUAAAGCAGCUCUUUUGAUUUCAUAUAAACAUAUUUAAGCAGCACUUUUCAUUUCAUAUAACUAUACCACUUGACACAUGCGGCUAUAUUUUUUUAACCAUUUGAUAUUUUUCGUAUUGGUAUAGUUGGACACUUUUACUGUUUAUAGUCCGGGUCUUGUAUUAAAAAAUAUGACACUUGGAAAGUUGGACGCUAUGGAAUUGAAUUUUACCCAGAAGGCCAGAACUAUUUUCAAUUGAAACUAAUAAGUUAAAAACCCCCAAUACAAAAAUAAGUAAAUACAUACUAUAUAUAAUAGUAAUACAGUAGUAAUACUAUAUAUAAUACAGUAGUCGUAUCAAAUAAAAAGAAAAAUGCAAAACCAAUAAUUUUGAUUAAAUCAUAGUAUAUAAGAAAACAUAUUACUGUUACGAACCCAUCCUAUAGGACGAUCCAAGAUUCGUAAAGAUCAGUCUAUACAAUAAUACAAACAUUUUUAAAGAAGCAACAUCAUAUUUUCAUGUAAUAAUAAUUUCAAAUCAUCUUUCUAAAUAAUAAUAUAAACUCUAAAAAACAUUAAUGGCUGUGGCAACUGGCAAUUGUAACAAACUAACAAUGUGGAUAAUGUGAUUAGUAAAUUUGUAGCUAUAUUCACCACAUGCAGUCAAAAUGUUGGGUAAUCAUAUAUUAAAAUCAUAGAAUAACAUUUUUCAGUAGCCUAAGACGAUAAAAUUGUUAAGAUAAUCAAUUUACACUAUGCAAUCGCCAACUGAAAUAAAGGUUAAAUAGUUUGAGGUCAAUAUACCGCCCUGAAUGACUUGACGACGCAAAUGGUACUACACCUGCAUUCUGGUAUUUUCAGAAAAGUAAAACACUAGAGAUGCAUCAAAAGAACAUUUUAAAAUAUUAUAAUAUCGUCAAAAAAAACAAUAAAUUCUGCAUGAAAAUCAGAGCAGAGAUCCGAGAAAAGCUUAGCUAUAUAACAUUUUCGCAAUAGCAAAGGUCAUAUUAACGCAUAUAGCCUCCCCUAGGUGUUCCCUUUCGUAUACUUUUUUGCAAUAAAUCUUGUUAUUUUUCCUUUGUUAUUGUGAAUCCUGAAGACAGUGAAGUGAAGUGGAAAGAUGCCACACAGACACUAAUUAUGAUUUUCUAUUUAAUUAAUCUAUUAAAGCCCUUUUAAUUUAUAGUGUUUUAGUUUGAUGGAAAAUAAUUGGAGUUAACCCCUGCUGGUCAAAAAAACAUAUCAUAGACAUUAGAGCAACAUUAUUGGGGAGGUCUUAGUUUUGGUUCUUAAGCCAAUUUUUUGCUCUUAAGCCAAUUUUUUUGCUCUUAACUAAGAACCAUUCCUUAGCAAAUCAACAUUUCAACCUUUAAUUUUAAUCACUCAUGAGCUAAGAACUAAGCUAAGGACCUCCCAAUAAAGAUGGUCCAGCUGUGGUCCAAUGGAUUACAAUUUUUUUUCUUAUUUAUUUAACAACAAAGAUGCAAAUUCUUUAAUAAUCAUACAGUUUUGGAACAUUGUUGUUGUUAAGUCAAACUAUUUUAAUGUUUUCCUUCUUUAUAAUGGAUAAUUGUGAGAUUCUUGUCAGCAUUUUUAUAUCAUUUAAGCUCUUUAUUUGAAUAGUACAUAUAAACUAUAGUAAAUAAAACUAAAAAAAAAAGCAAAAUUUAGUCAUUAGUAGUUGAUUUUGUUUCAUAAGCGUAUUAUUUGGUUGGCAACAAGCCAACAACUAACAAAAAGAGUUCUAUUUCAGGCCCAAAAUAGUUCAAGACAAGAUUUGUUAUCAUAAGCCCAAAGGCCCAUUAGACUCAUUUUUGAUAAUUGUAAAUGGGGAAGUCAGCAUUUUGAUCGUUGACUGUGGGAGUAGUUAGACUUACCAACGAAUAAGCCGCAUGAGAUGAUGACACGUGUCAUUCCGAUUAAGUAAGAAAUCGUCUCUUGCUUGUUUCCUCCUAAUUAACAUUAAAAUCUUGAUUCGAGUUUGAAGAAGCCAACUCCAACAACAACAAAAAUUAUUAUCAAAGAAAUGCAAAUGGGAUAUGAAAAUCCAAGGAUUAUGUACGGUGUGAUCAUCACCGUGUACGUUGAUCGUCAAACGACGACCGUCCGAUCAUUUCAAGGGAGACGGAAAAAUGAUGAAGGGGAGAGAUUCAUUGAACGGACGUGGAAGCCUGGGAUCGGAAAGAUACGUGGUUAUGAUCGGAGAGCGAAUCUGUUAGCUUAUAUUCGUCAGAUGAGGGCCGAGAGUCUCACCGGAGAUUCGAAAUGCGACGUCGUAGAGAGUGACAACAAGCCUGAACGGCUGAGUCCGAGUCCGAAGGUAACGUUUCUCUGAUUUUCUUGAUGAGUUAUUACAAUUUAAUUGGGCCGGAUAUGGGCCAUGACUUAUGGUUCAUCUUGACUUGCGUUUAUACUUACGCAAAAAUUAAAGAGCAAGUAAGCAGUUGCGUCUGAAUGAUUAGUGAUGUUGAGUGUUGACUGUUGAGUGUUGAGUGUUGACUAUGAUAUGAUGUAAAAUGGAAUGUCAAGUUUAAAACCUUAUAUUGUUAAUAAGCAGAGUAUUUUUCUUUGUAAUAAAAUAAGUAAAUAAUUGUUUUAAACCAGCUAUGCUAAGUAAGUUUACACUUUUUUUUUGUCUUGAUUAAAAUGGCAGAAGAAGAAAAGAAGGUGGAUAAGAAAAAUGAUGAGUAAGUUCCGGUUACCGUUUCUUCGUCCAUUUCGACGAAAAAAUAGAACGUGGAGAUACCGCCAUUUUGUUCCAGAUGAAGAAGGAGAAGCAAGGAGCAAAGCUAAACACAACUCAGAUCUUUGGGUACUUCCGCUUUUUCUUUUCUGUUUUUUCUUGCUGCUAGUAAUAAUCUAGACUUUUCUUUCUUAAUCGUGUUCUAUGAUUUCUGAACGAAGAAUAAGCUUAAACAUAUGGUUGGAGGAUUAUCACGCGGUUGCGUACGAAGUAGAAGAGAUUCUUGAUGGACACAACAAGAAUCAAGGAACGGAUUAUUGUCUGAAGUUGGCUAAGAAGAAGUGAGAAAUUUUUUUUUUUCUAUUUUUCUUUUCACAUAACCUUUUUAUUGGUCUUCCAGAACUUGAGGAAGAUGAAGAUCAAAUCAAUACAGAGAAAAAAAAGGGAAAUAAAAGAGAGAUUUCGAAAUGAGGCAUAAGAGAUCAUGCCUCAUAGAGUACAACAAUGCGGAAACAAUACUACAAUUACACAGAAUACAUAAUUUACAUGAAAAUAAAUAAAAGAAAGGGACGACUGCGAGUUUUUUUUUUCAAUUCCCUGUGUAUGGCUAAUUGGCUAGUCAUGUUAGCCUUUUUAUACUGCUCCUGCAAUUUUUAAGUCAAUUGUAAUCGUGGAGAGAGGUUGAGAAAUAUGCAGAGGACAUUGAUCAUGAAUUUGCUUUGGUUAAUAUUAAAGUUACCGACCUCUAUUGCCACCUCUCUGGUUCCUUGGAAAGAGCAAACGGUGAAGCGAACGACUUGGAGAAGCAGGGGAGCUGGAAGAGGAUGCGAAAUCACUUGAUUCCAUAUCAAGAAACCGAAUAUGAUGGCUUUGUCCUUGCCAUGAUGAUUCUAGAUCUAAUAUCCCGUUGCUCAGAGAGUCAUCUGAGCUGUAAUCUUCUUCUUCAUCUUCUUCAUCAUAAACAGCUCGGUUAUGGGGCUCUAUCACAUAAUCUCCCAACACAACAGCACCUGGUGUCGAUGACAUUAUCGUGCUUAUCACGUCUCUUCUGUCUCUUUCCCUCUCAAGCCUCUUCCAUUUGGUUUCCAGAGCUGGAUCAAUGGCUCUCGGGCAAGCAUGUGGGUGUUUUUCCUUCAUAUGUUUCUUGAGCUUUCGGAAGUUUCCUAAAAAGGAACAGUUAUCCUGCAUACAAGUCCUUCUCUUGGAGUUGAAAUGCAUCCGAGCAUCUUUCACAACAGUCCAACCUUUCACUUGACCUCUACACAGUGGACACAAAAGCUCGGGUUGUCCUGAGUUCUCGUUACUAUAUGAUUUCCUGUAUUGCUCGAGGCAGUUGGCAAAACGGCUGCUUGUUGCACACAUGUAAGGACGACAUCCUUUGUGAUACGACGAACACAGGAGAAGAACCGCAUUGUGUGGAGACUCCAGGCAUACUGGGCAGGUUGAGCCAGCCCAUUCUUUCUUGCAACAUGGUGAUGGAUAAGGUGUAGCAAUGUGACCCCUUUGAUUCGCUUUCUUGAAUUUCCCCAUUCGAUCGAUUAAAAAUCUAUUAAAGAAAAAACUCAAUUGUAAGAUUCAUCCAAAGUAGUAACCAACAAGCAAAAUUCAAACGAGUCAUCACUAAUAUAAUAUAACACUCUCAAAGAGCAGUUUGGAAAAAAUGUCAAUUCAUAAAAUCAAACAAAAGCAAUGCUCUUUGAUGUCCAUUGACCUUGGAUCUAAAUCUCCGAGUCAGGAAACUAUGCAUAAGCGACCAAAUCUCUGAUCCAAAUCUCCGAUUCAGGAAACUAUCCAUAAGCUAUCAGAUAACUACUACACUAUAGUUGUAAACUUCUAAUUCUAACCAAUAGAGUGAGCAUUAACCGGAUCCUCAAAUGGCAAUCACAAGCAAAUUCACAAUUAGAUCCACAGACAAUGCAAAAUUCCAGAUCUGUAGAAGAAAAUCUGGUAAAUUAAAUCCAAAAUUCAUGCAAAAGCAAGCAACGCAUCAAUAGUAAACCAGAUUUUAUCGAUCCACAUAUAAGAUCGAGACGAAUCAUACAAUUCAAUGUUUGAUAACACACAAACAAAGACCUAAGAUCUAACCUAAUCGAGAAUCUAAGAUAGAUCUCUCUACCGAAACUAGAAGAUCGGAGACCUUUAGCGAAUCUCACCUAAACAAAUUUGGAGAAAGAGAUGACGAAGGAUAACAGAUUAAACGAUGCGGAAGAAGGCGCGGGAAAUAGUACCGGAAUUAAACGGAGGAGAUCGCCGGCGGGAAUAGAGAGCUCCGAGCUUGAAGGAUGAUGAUGUACAGAUAAAAAGGGAAAAAAAGCGAGAUUGCUUCUAAGAAUUGACGUACGCAAACAAAGCCAAAUAACUCUUUUCUUUUUGAUUUUAAACUUGCGGUUGGAUUCCUAUAUGUCGUCAUUUUGACGCAACCGUUUUUCUCAUCAAAAUUCUCGUGUCGAUGGGAGUAUCUCGCGCAUACGAUAUGACCGCUGUGUUUCUUUUAAUGGGCCUUCAGCCCAUUGUAUUUGUUGUUAUUACGAGGUCCAGAUUUUGGAGAGAGGCGAAAUAAUUCGACAUUAUCUUUGAAUUAACACAUUAUCUUUUUCUCGAUGAACACCAAUUUUUAAAAAUAAUUCGACAUAUAUUUGAAUACUGGCGACCCAUGUUCUAGAAUAUAGGCGAAAUAUUACGAGGACCUAUAUUUGAAUUAACACAUUAUCUUUUUCUCGAUGAACACCAAUUUUUAAAAAUAAUUCGACAUUAAAUAAAAUAAAAUAAAAACAAACUGGUUAUUAUGAGCAUAGUCCAAAUAACCCAACUAUAGCCUUCCUUGUCGUAGCUAGAGACAUUUAUAUUCCACAUAUCGUAGACAGGAGCCAUAUCAGGAUUGAAGAAUCCGAAGCUUUUUUCUACCUCUCCUUCUUUCAAAUCCUCAUUGAACAUUUCAAAGAAAAAAGUCAUCACAGGGACAUUAGGCCGUCUCGGAGUACCCUUAUGACCUGUGGUUAGUUUCUUAAGCAACCCCUGGUUAUAGGCACGAGCAUUCUCCACGCUCGUGUAUGGAACAUUUCCUCUAGUAGGCCAACCAGUCUCCGCUACGUACACCUUCACGCUUCCGUGGUUGAUCUUCUCUAACGCUGCGUUGAAAGCAUCCAACGUUGCAUCAAAUAUGUUCGUGUAUUGGUAUUUUCCGUCUGUCACUACCGGUGAAGUCGAACGGAACGUUGCGUAUUCUAAUGACACUUGGGUAGGGUCUGAUGCGUAAGCGAAAUAAGGGUAAACGUUGACCAUGAGUGGUGAAUCGGUAGAGCUAAGAAUCGAUACGAUUUCGGUUAUAAGUUCGGUUAUCGCCGGUUUAAAUACUCCGGCUGAUGGUGGGUAAGAGUUAGCGAGUGCGGCUGUGGAUAUGACGGUGGUGACGUGGAUCUUUGAGUUUCCGAUUUCGGUCAAUGCAGCUUUUAUAUUCUUCAUGGCUUGUGGCACGUAACGUCCGAUCUCUCCUUCGAUCACUUCGUUUCCCACAGUGAUCCAAUUGAAAGCUACGUUUUUGUAUGGUGCUAUAAACGUUUUUACCCAAUUUAAGGCAAAUUCGUAAUGUUCGGCUAAUGUUUUGAUUUCUUCGUUUUUUGGUCCGAUGGCUACGAGAAGACCAGUUCCUUGUAAUGAGACGAUGAGGUCGGGGACAGGCUCGUAUAGUCUUAUCCCAGCAACGUUUAUUUUCUUGUAUAGAGAUACUAUUUGUGCCGGAGAUGGGAGAUUGUCUCCGUUUCUUCCAUCACAGACUCCGACAAACGGAUUCAUGUUUCUGGCCGCAGUUAAUCUGGCUAAAAUAAAAAGAAGAGUAAUUACAAGAAACACUGUCGAGUUGCUCAUGAUUUAGCUCCGCAAGCAUAUGUUAGUGUUUGUCUCUCUCUAUAUAUAUUUAGGUUUUGUGUUUUAUCAUGUGGACAUAUUUUCACUCCUGCGUGAUUUAUGUUUGGUGCUGCUUAAAUGGAUAAUAAUGAAGUAAUAUACUUAGGAAAGUUUGUGUUGCUCAAUCUUCUGUCAAUUAAUGAUAAUUGUAAGUGGGUUAAUACAUGUAUUAAAGCUGUUAUUACUUUGGGAAAUUUUUAGCACAUUUUAUCUUAUUGCUAUGAAAAUUUUUUAUAACAUGUUAUCAUCUGUAAAAAGCUUAGUUGCAAACUUGCAAUGACCUUAUGAAAUCUUGCGAAAGUUUAUUUUAGAUUUCAUACUCUUCUUUUACUUAUUUUUCUUCUAAAAAGAUUAAAAUUAAUUAUUUUGGAAAAUAUCUUAAAAAUAUCCACAAUGUUAAAGAUAUAAUCUGCAAAUUUUUAUUUUUGUGAAAUAUAUUAGAGCGAGUAAAUCCCACGUCAAACUAGAUCCUUCAAAAAGAUGGAAACCAUGAUAUGCAACAUAUAAUUGUCAUGUUUUAUAACAUUAACAUUAAUAUAUGCAACAUAUGCCGUCAAAAAAACAUUAACAUUAAUAUCUUUGUCCAGCUACUGACAUCUAAUUUAGUGUACCAUAUCUUGAAAUUUCUGCUUUCAAUGAGUUGAUUUGAUUCUCUCUUCCUCUCUUGUCCAUGUGCUCAUUUGAUUAACUUUAAUUAUUUUCAGUGAUCAAGUUUUAGGGCUUGAUUGGUUCUCCCGCUAGCACCCUCCUAGCGGUUGCUAGCGGUCUGUUGCGGUUGUUAGCGGUUGGUACCAAUCAUAGAAAUCGCUUCGUACUGCUUCUAAUCGCUCGAAAUCGCUGAAUUUCAAAAGCUCCUUCCCGCAAGCGUUUGCGGCUGUGGGCGGUAGCGGUUGGAUUUUUUUUUAAAAAUCAAACGUUUACUUAUAAUUAUUAUAAUAUAUAUCAAUCAUAUAUAUAUAUCUUUCAUCUUUGUAUCACGUUCUCAUCAGAAACCCUAAUAAUAUUCUGAAUCCCUAUUCUCUCAAUGUCUUCCACCCAAACUGAUGAAAAUCAAGAACCAAACGUAAGUAUCAUAUAUCCUUUUAUUCAUUCAUCACCUCAUGUGUAACUUUUUGAAUAUUUUUCAUGGCAUCGUUUUUUUCUUUUCAUUACGUAUUGCUUUGCUUUUUGAUUGAAUAUAUGUUUCGAUUUAUUUUCUCAAAUAGAGACUCACUUGCUUUUUGAUUGAAUUCAACGUUAUUUACAGUUUGUCCCAUUACUUGAUGCAAUUUUUGGUGUUAAACCAGAUGCAUAAAGUACUAUCUUGUUACAAAAUUUCUUUAUUUUUGAAUAAAUAUAUUGUACUUUAUUUAUUCAAACAAAAACCAGAAUCAUGUUCAAUUUUUCUAAUAUUAUCAUAAAAAUAUAUUGGUCUUUUUUAUUUAUUUUUUUGUAAUAUUUUUUAUUUAUCUUGGUCAUUUUUUAUUUAACUGCUACCGCACCCGCUGGUUUACCAGUCAUAAAAUUCCCGCAAACGCACCCAUUUUCAAACGCUAAACCAGUCGUUCAAAACGCUUAGUAACACUUGAAACCGCAACCACCCGCUUCCGCAAACUCCCGGAACCGCAACCGCAAUCGCUGCGUUUAAACCAGUCAGGCCCUUACUAUCCUACUUAGUAAAAUGAAAUCUUCUAGGAAGUAAAUGCAUAAAUAAAUUUAAUUAUUGCAUGUAUCUAUUUUUGUACCUUAAAAAUUAACACUUUAAGUAAAUGCACUAAAGUAUUUUUUAAAUAAUUUAAGCGGGAAAAUUAAUCAACUCUAAUAACAAAAGAGAUCGUAGACUGGAGUCAUAUCAGGUGCAAAGAUUCCGAAGCUCUGCUCCACCGGACCAUCCUUCUGAUUCUCUCUGAACAUCGCGAAUAGAAACACGUCCACCGGCGUCUCCGGCCGGCGAGGCGUCCGCUUCCGUUGAGAUCCCCCACAUGUCCUAAUCCCCAAAUUGUAGGCCUUGGCGUUAUCAACACUCGUAUACGGUGGAUUUCCCUCCGUCGGCCAUCCAGACUCCGCCACCAUCACCACCACAUUUCCGGCGUUGAUCUUCUCCAACGCCGCAUUGAAUCCGUCCACCAUCGCCUCGAACAUGUUGGUGUACUUCAAAUCACCGUCGAUCACUACCGGCGUAUCGGAUUUGAAACUAGCGUAAUCGAGUGAGAUGUGAUAAGGAUCUGACGCGUAUGCGAAGUACGGGUAGAUAUUGGUCAUGAGAGGCGAAUUCGUCUGAGAGAGUAUCGAUGAAAUCUCCGUCAUGAUCUCGGUUAGAUCUGGGAGGAAUGUUGCAGCUGAAGGUGGAUAUGAAUUGGUCAACGCGUUCAUAGCUAAAACCGUUGUGACGGCUAUUCCUGUGACGCCGGAAUUCGUUAGCGCGGCGUUGACGUUUCUGAUCGCGGCGGCGACGAAUGGAGCGAUUUCUCCGGGGAAGACUUCGUUACCGAUUGUGAUCCAUUUGAUUGCGACGUCGUUUUGGUAAGGUGUGAUCCAGGUGGCGACGAAAUUUGUUGCGGCGGCUGGAUCUUGGGCUAGGGAUUGGAUUUCUUCGUUUCGUGGACCAAACGCGACGGAGAGACCUGAGCCACGGAGAGCUUCGAGCAUGUCGGCGAAGGGCUCGUACAUACGGAUUGCGUCGAUGUUGUUGGUUUUGUAUAAAGCUACUGUAUCUGCCGGCGUUGGGAGAUUGUUGCCGUUCCGGCCGUAACAAACUCCGGUGAUGUCCCCUGCAACACCUAGAAGAUGCAGAAACAAAAAUAAAUUUCAGUUUACCGGGAUAAAUCAACAAUAACACGAAAUUUAAUAACCGAGUCCGUGUUACGAAUCGGGAUAAACCAAUCCGGUUUACGAAUUAAAUCGAUUGGAGCAAAAAUAACACGAAAUUUAUUAUAACCAAACCGUACUCAAAAGGCGGAGGUAGAAUAAACCGGAUUACAUCCAAAGAAAAUAAAACCAGGACAUAAUGCUUCUUAAUUUAAACAUAAUUUGAUGGUAGAACGAAAUUUGAUUAGAUAAAGUUGAGUUUUUUUUUUGUGUGUGUGUGUUAAAAAAUAUAAUAUUCAAUAAUCAGUUUUUACCAGCUGGGCAAAAGAUUUGGAUGGAUAGGAGGAUCAUAAAUAUCACAAUCGUUAAACCGGUUGGUUUGGAAUCCAUUGAUGUAUAGUGCGUGUAAAAGAACUGUUUAUGAGAGAAUUGAUAUGAUUCUUCUAAUGUGUUUGUGUAUGUUUGAAGAUGUUCUUGUUGGUGAAUGUGGAAUGUAUUUAAGGGUGAUUUUUUAGGAAGCAUGAGUAAUUACUUCUUAAUGACAAUUGAUGGUGGAUAUCUCUAAUAUAAUCAAGGCACUCAAGCAUGAAUUGUUUAUUUAUCCAUUAAAUGAAAGAUUAAGUAUCGUAGUUGCACCUAGUUUCGCAACUGAUAAAACUAUACAAAUUCGUGAUAUAACUUUGUCAUUUAAUGGAUGAUCAACCAUUUUUUUUUUGUUAACUAAAACAUCAUAUUAUUAUGGUCACUUCACUUGGGCUGGGGUCGAGCGUUUUAUAUCAUAGGACUUACUCAUCAUUUUUUAUAUCAAGUACUGCAAAAAAUGAAAACCACAUAAUGACCUUUACAGAGUAAAAUAUAUCUGAAGAAACUUUACUCGUGAAAGUAGGGAAUACGAACCACAAAAGAUGAUGGAAUUAAAAGUAAAAUUUUUAAAGAAAGAUCAAAAGAAACGGACUUACCAAAUUUACUUCCAAACUAAAGUGAACAAAAGUACAAAACCAACCACAAAAGACAACACGCGUUUCUAUCAAUUGGCGUGUUGUCUUUUGUGGUUGGUUUUGUUCACUUUAAUUUGGGAUAUGUUAAGAAAGUUAAUAAGAUAUUUGUUUACCAAAUCAAGAUUUCAGUUGUGUACUAGUUUGUUGGUUUGUGCAAGAGUUUUGCCUAGCUAUUUAAGGCAAGAUAAAAUUUUCAUCAUUUAUAUUAGUUUCCACAAAAUUUGAGGUUCCACCAAAUUGGUAAAUCAUUGAUAUCAAUACGGUAAUUUUAUCAUUUCAUAAAAAAACGUUUGAAAUAACGUAUGCAUAAACAAUUCAAUCAACCUGAGCUACCUAAUUGUAUCAUUAAGCCAUCCAAAUUCUAUUUCAGUAAAAUCUAGUUUGGAUCAAUUUAGCAGUCCGUUUUUUGAUACUCAAUAAAUAUGAAAGCCAAAGCAUUGUAAAUAGCGGAUUCUAGUUUAAUUGGUGGGCACAAAGAGUCAUUUUCAUAUUAACAUAGAACAUGUACAUCACAUGUAAUUAAUACAUACAUUCUCUUUCGGCCAAAUCAAUCAUAAUCAAAAUAUAAAAAUGAAAUAAAAUAGAGCAAAUCUAACAAGAAACAAAAAAAUAGAGUGAUAUCAUCAUCAUAAACAAUACGAUGGCUUUUAAAACAGAAAGUUAAAAACUAAAAUAAAAGAAAAUCUAAAAAAGAAUGGGAAGAAUCUAAUUUGGAUCUAAUUGAACAUCUGAAAAAGGUAAAUGACCUAAAUCUCCAUUUACUACAAAAAGAAGGAUCAAAUAAUAAUUAAAGAAUUGGAGAGGUAAAAAAAGCAUAUCCCGUACGAAUGAAUCAACAUGGUCGUAUCUCGUGAGUCAUCUAACGAGUAAAAAUCAAACACGUGUCGUAACAAAAGAGGUGCACGAGGGCUACCCUACGCCUCACACCUCUCUAUCAUAUUCUCUGAAUAAAAAGCUGAAAAAAUAAUUAAAAAAAUUCUGCCAAAAAUGAACCGUUCCUCUGUUGCCUGCAAAUAACGCGAAAAUCUCUCUCUGAGAAAAAAAAAUAAAAUAAAAGAAAAAAAAGAACCGAACCAGUCGUGGGACGGAUCCGAAAGAACAUGAACCAGAGAAAUUUGAAGAAGAAACCCUAAUCUUAGCCUCGCUUUUAUUCUUCUUCAUCUUCUUCUUUCUUCUUUCUUCGUUCUUAAUCUGAAAGGCGCCAAGAUUGGUACGGGUGAGCUAGGUUAGGGUUAGGAUUUAGGCUCGGGAAAUUAGGGUUAGGGUUUUGAUUAAUUGUCUGUUUCUUUCUCCCGUUCUUUGGGAGGUGAAAUUGAAGGCGGAGUCGUAUCGGAGGAUUUGGGAUUUAGGGUUAGGGUUAAGUGUUUUUUCGUUUCAUGGGAGGUGUGGGAGUUUAUGGUGGUGGUUUGUGUCGGCUAUGAACGUUGACCAAUGCCAGUGGCGGAAGAAGAUGAUGGGUAGGGGAGUGGACGGAGGUUGUGGUGCUGAAGAGAAGCCUUAUCGCCCAUUUCGUAGGGCUGUGUUAGAUAAGGAGAAUGGGAACAAGGGCUCUGAGGAUAUGGGUUCGUUGGAUAUCGAUUUCUUAGCUCAAGCUAGCAAAAAUCUUUCUGAGAGGUCUCCAUAUGAUGUUCCUGAAGAUGGUUCUACUUCUGGGUUAAGUGUUCCUACUCUACCCAUUGCUUUAGCUAAUUUGCUGAAGAACCAUGCGAAUAACAAGAAACGGCAUAAGAAGUCUCAUUCUGGUGCAGAUAAGAAGAAGAAGAAGUCUUCUAGGCAAGGAGAUAAGUUGAGAAGUGGGAGUAUCUGGCUUGAACAUGAGGACUACUUUAGGCGCUUAGAUUUUCCUGAUUUAGAAACUUUGUCAGAUUUAGCAUCUCUACGAUCUUUAUCUUCUAGAAAUUGCCUUUCAGUUCCAUCGGUGGAAUUCGAGUCUAUUAAUAUUCAACAGAGGGAAACCGAUGCGAGUGCCAAGAAUGAGGAUGUUGUUUGUGGAGAUGGCGUUGCUCUGCAACAAAUUAAGAACCUUCUCAGUAAAGAGAUAUCUGAAGGCACAGUAAGAAAAGAAGAGGAUGUUGUUCAGCCAAUGAAUGUUGACAAUGUGGGGAAUGGAAUCUCCUCUGGGUCUGACUAUUCUGGUAGUUUAGAAUGGGUUUUAGGUAAUAGAAAUAGGAUUUUGUUGACAUCAGAAAGGCCCUCCAAAAAGCGGAAGCUUCUUGGUGGUGAUGCAGGUUUGGGGAAAUUAAUGGUUGCGGCUCCUUGUGAAGGAAAUGCAUUGUUAUGUGAUUUUUGCUGCACUGGUGAUGCCAAGGAAUAUCAUCACCAGUUGAUUGUUUGCACUUCCUGCAAAGCUACAGUUCAUAAAAAAUGCUAUGGCCUGCUUGAAGAUUCAGAUAAAUCUUGGUUGUGCUCUUGGUGUGAGCUGGAGAAUGGUCGUGGUGAUUCUGAAAGACCAUGCUUGCUGUGUCCAAAAAAGGGUGGCAUCCUUAAACCUGUUCUCUCAAAACUUGAGAAUGGUGGGCCGGCGGAGUUUGCUCAUCUGUUUUGUUCUCUGUGGAUGCCUGAGGUGUAUAUAGAAGACUUGAAAAAAAUGGAGCCCAUCUUGAAUUUGCCUGGAAUAAAGGAAACCCGGAGGAAGUUAUUGUGUAACUUGUGCAAGGUGAAAUCUGGUGCUUGCAUUCGCUGUUGUAAUGGUAUGUAUUGUUGCUUUCUGUGCAUCCAGUCUACUUCUAAGCAUGGGUAGCAUUGAUAUUGUUAAUGAUAUGUUCUAUUGUAUAGUUUGGGUAUUUCACUUAAUAUGCUUAUUCCUUGGAACAAUUUAACAAAUGUGCAAAAAACCUACGCAUACGAUAAAAGAAUGGUGAGUACUGGUUGCUCAUAAUCCGAGUCCGUUAUAAAAAGCCUAUUUGUCACAUCAAAUUGGGGUUCAUUUGGCUUUACUGCUGUGCUCACAGUCGUUGUCCUUUCUUUGCCUAUGCCGGAUAACCCAAUUAUCUGGAUCAUUUUCACUGGAAAAUGCCUUGUUGACAUUUAUUAUCACAUUGCAGUGUUUUUAUUUUCUUCUUCUUUUUGGCAGUGUUUUCAUUUUCUUAUUUACUUGUCACACUUCUCUUUGAUUCAAUUUAUUUUGUCUCCAUUUGUUGGUAAAUAUCAGAUAGUAAUUGAUACGUGAUUACAAUCUCUUGAUCAUAGGAACAUGCCGAACAUCUUUCCAUCCUAUAUGUGCAAGGGAGGCAGGGAAUAGGCUAGAGGUCUGGGGAAAACAUGGGUGUGAUACUGUAAGUUUCAUCUACAGAAUGAAAUUGUAGUGAGUGCUGUUUUUCUAUAAUGAUAUAAGAAAAACUUGUAGGUUGAACUGCGAGCUUUCUGCUCGAAGCAUUCAGAUAUUCAAGAAAGUGGAAAGUCCGUAGAGGGAGGAGAAAGUAAUGCAGCUGAAAGUCGUUCUCCUAUAUGUCAUAUUCCAUCAGAAUCUGUUAGAGAAAGUCACCUAAGUAAUGAUGAGAUGGGAGUUGACGUAGGAACACCGGGUACAGGUUCUGAUAUUUCGAGAAACAGUGAGUUACAAGAGCUAGAAUCACCACACUCAAAAUUUAACUGGUCUGCAACAGACAAUGUAGAAUCAGGGAUGACUGGGAGAAGCAAUGAAGAUGAAAGAACUCUGUCCAAGUCUCUUAGUUUUGGAUUGAUUCUGAAAAAGGUUUAUAUAUUCUUAUUUGCUGGAUUGUCUAUACCUGUUGAAUCUCUUGCUCACUGAUUCACAUUUUUUAGUUGAUCGACCUGGGUAAAGUGGAUGUGAAGGAUGUGGCUGCAGAGAUUGGGAUUAAUCCUGAUGCUCUGAGUGCCAAACUUAAGGUAACGCGUAAAACUUCUCAUAUACCUGCUUCAAACCUCUAUGCUCUCAUUGUGAGUUUCUGUGUAUUGAUUUCAAAAAUUUCCUUUGCAGGACGGAGACUUGUUACCUGAUUUACUAGGCAAAGUAGUUAAAUGGCUUAGCCAGCAUGCACACAUGGGUUCUUCGGAUAAAGGCAAAAAUUUAAAACGUAAGACAACUACUAAAUCUGAGCGUCGGGCAGCUAUCUGUACUGAAGGCAUAGUGAUACUAGAUUCUGACAUCUUAGAUCCUGCUGUAGCAAAGGCUUUUUCUAUAGAGCGAACACAUGAAAGCAACAUUUGUAAUAAUACGACGAAUAAUACAAUUUGUACGUUAACUGAAAAUUGUACUGGUAAUGGUAUUGUGGUUGUUGAAGCUAAAGCUAAUGGAUCAGUUUUGAAGAAAGAAGGAAGUGUGAGUUUGGCACCUGAUCAUUUUCCCGAAGAACCGGUAAUCACCAAAUCUUAACUGUUAUGUUCUGAUUAUUUUUCUUAAAAUUUAGAUGCUUUCUCAUGAUCUGCAUCACAAAUAGUUGUUACUUGUUAGAUCUGUCAUCAAAUCUGGCCAAACGCAGGCGUGGUCGUAGUCUUUUAUGCACAAGGACCUCUGGAUUAGAUAUUUGAUGUUGUGUCUUGUUUCUCAUGUACAGAAUUCAAUAGUGCUUGAUCAGGAAGUUCAUCAUGGGAAAAGUUCAGUUCUUCCCUCUGGUAUGUUUUAACUUUUCACUAUUUUUUCUUCCAUAUCCCAUGUAGUUAUAUUCCAAGCUUGUAGGUCAGCAUUUUUUUGUUUUUUAAGUUGGUAGUUUCUAUUGAGGAUGUCUCUUCAUCGUCCAAUGUUUAUUAGACUUAAUAAUUUUUUAUCCUUUCUUAGUUGAUGGUAGCUGCUGCUGAUCUUGUUUCUAAUCUUUUGAGUAGAUGAUCAUGGAGAACAAUCAAACUCCAGUUCUUCUGGAGUCAUGCUGGAGAAUGCCUUUUCCUUGGGGCCAAAUAGUUCUCAGAAUCAUGGAAAUUUGAACUGUCCAAACCCCAUUAUCUUGGAUCUCUUGUAAGCUCCAGAAACGCAAUUGGGAGACAGUUUCUGUUGUUCUCUCGGCUAACAUAAAAAUCCUGUCUUCUAAAUCAAUUUUUUUUAACAUAUGAUCAUGCAGCGAUCAUGAAGCAUAUCCUGGUUCCAAACCUCAUCCUUAUAUCCACAAAGAAUUGUCAGAACUGGGCAAGGGACAGACCCUGAAAAGCAGCACGGAUUCUGAUGUGGCUAGGAUGACAACCAAAUUUGAUGGUAUAGACUUUAUGAUUACUGCCACAGCUUUUAGGACAUUUGGUAACAUUAAAUCAUUUGGCAGGCUCUGAAGAAGGAAACAAACAUCUGCAGGGUGCUGGCGAUCACACUAUCUUUCGUAAUCACCAAAAUCAGAGUGCAGAGACAUUUCGUCAGUUAUCUAAAGCUAGGAAAUUGGGCAUACUGGAUCUGUCUCCUAAAGAUGAAAUGGAAGGAGAACUUCUAUAUUAUCAGCUUCAGUUACUUGGCACUGCAGUUUCAAGAAAGCAACUAUCUGGUGAGUUGAUUAUCCAUUUUUAAUUGCAUGGUCCCAAUACUUGAUGUUUUCUGCACUAUAUCUGUUAUAGUAUUCUAAAAUUGGUCCUUUUCAGACAAUUUAGUUUAUGAAGUUGCUAAAAAGCUGCCUCUGGAAAUUGAUGAACAACAUGGACGAAGAUGGGAUGAUGUUCUUGUCAACAAAUAUUUCCAUGAUGUCAGGGAAGCAAGAAAGCAAGGUAGGAAAGAGAAAAGACACAAACAAGCCCAGGCUGUUCUAGCUGCUGCUACUGCUGCAGCGGCGACAUCUUCUAGGAAUACAUCGCUUAGGAAAGAUAUGUCAGAAGAACCUGCACAACAAGAGGUUGUUGUUGUUGCUACAUUUAGAUUUUUUCCUCCAUGUAUUUAUUUUAGUUGUGCCAUAUUUCUUAUCCAUUAUUCUUACUGGUUAUAAAUCGGACAGAUGAGCACUUCUAGACGUAGAGUUGCUGGCAGCUCUCACCUAGUGCCACAGACAAAGGAAACACUUUUAAAGAUGACUGUUUCUGGACCACCUUCCGAGAAGCGGUCUGAUCAUCGCACACCAGACUUUUCAGUAGAAAAUCCACGAACUUGUGACAUCUGCAGGCGCUCCGAAACUAUAUGGAACCUGAUUGUAGUGUGCUCUAGUUGCAAGGUGAUAGACUUUUCCUGUGAUUUAUUUCUAAUGUUUUAUUAAGGCAUGAUUAUCUCUUCUGGGGACCGCUUUUAUGCACUGUAUGGUAUCUGAUAAGGCUCCAAUUACAGGUUGCUGUUCACAUGGAUUGCUACAAAUGUGCUAAAGAAUCUACUGGUCCCUGGUACUGUGAGCUAUGUGCGGAGUCAUCUUCAGAACCUUCUUUCAAUUUUGGGGAAAAACCGAAUUCUUCUACACAAUGUACUCUGUGUGGUGGCACAACUGGGGCUUUUAGGAAAACUACAAAUGGGAAAUGGGUUCAUGCUUUUUGUGCUGAGGUGAAGUUUCCUUUUACAGCAGCAGUUAUUAGCAGGGUCUGGAGUACUAUAUUGAGUAUUGAACAUUGCAAAUAACUUGGUGUAUAAUUUCUCUCAGUGGUCCUUGGAGUCAACGUUCAGAAGGGGACAAAUAAACCCUGUGCAGGGAAUGGUGGGUUCAUAUAAUUAUAAUACCGAAUCACUGUGAUGUUUAAGCUUUUUAAAAAUACUAAAGCUCAAUGUAUGGUGCCUUAUUAGGAGUCUCUGGCCAAGAACAUGGACACUUGUUGUGUAUGCCAACAGAUAUAUGGUGCAUGCAUUAAGGUAGUCACCCUUUCUUGCUUUUUUAUCUGAAUACAUCUAUUUCAAGUAUUGGGUAAAGAUUGAACAAAAAGCUUAUGUUGUCAUUUUACAGUGUAGUUAUGGUAACUGCCAGACGACAUUCCACCCCUCCUGUGCCAGAAGCGCGGGUUUUCAUAUGACUGGAGGUGGUAAACAUCCGCAUAAGGCGUACUGUGAGAAGCAUAGCAUAGAGCAGAAGGCAAAGGUCUUAUUUCUUAUCUCUUUCGCCAUCUUGAUUAUGGCCUACUUGCAUCAUAAGCUUGCUUAUAUCUGUCUGACUAUGUUUGCAGGCUGAAUCUCAGAAACAUGGGGCAGAGGAGCUGAAAAGUCUCAAACAUUAUAGGGUAGGAGUUCUUAGCGAAUUCAAAAUGAUUUUGUCAUUGCUUUGUUAAGCUUAUUCCUUCCGAUCUCUUAUCAAGUUAUUUAUAAUUCUUGGAAUUUUGCACAAUCUCCUCCAGGUUGAACUUGAGAGGUUACGCCUUCUGUGCGAGCGGAUAGUCAAGAGGGAGAAAUUAAAGGUAUGUUACACUACAGCAUAAACCCAAAAUCUUCCUUUCAUUGAAACGAAACUCAUGGGGGCUUGACCUGUUACUGGUUUGAUAUAUUUGCAGCGAGAGUUGGCUAUUUCCUCACAUGAAAUACUUGCUGCCAAAAGGGAUCAUGCUGCACGUUCAUUACAUGCCCGUAAUCCAUUUUCUCCUCCAGAAGUAUCGUCGGACUCAGCUACAACAUCAAUAAAAGGUCAUCCUGAUAGUAAUAUAUCUGGCAGUGAAGCAAUACAGAGGUCAGAUGAUAUCACCAUUGACAGCACAGUCACUGAUAAGCGCCGAGGCAAAGGUCCCAUAUUAAUGGACACGGAUCAGAAAACCGAUGACAGUGCUACUUCCAAGAGUCGGUUUUCCCGUAAGCCAACAGAAAGACAGAUCUUAUCUGGGAAAACUGUUCCCCGCAAACAUUGUAUAGUGUCACCUAGUGUUUCAGAGGAUGGAGAUAACGGGUCAAAGCCCAAGAAGGUGAGAAGAUUAACUUUGUCGUAAGUUGCAUGGAUUGUUAAGUUCGACUCUUUCUGCCCAACUCAGCACAUUCAUAGGAUCUUACACUUGUUUGUCUUGAUAACUGAUAAUAGCAGCAUGUAGAAACAUUUGCAAAAGAGCUGGUGAUGACAUCAGAUGAAGCUUCUUUCAAGAAUCGGCGGCUUCCAAAGGGAUACUUCUAUGUUCCUGUUGAUCAUCUUCAGGAAGACAAACCGGGAAACCAGAAGCUGGCUUCAUCUGACAAGCCAGCGGACCAGAAGACAUCUUCAGGUGAUCAGUCAGGUAAAGACGACGGGUAAAAGCUGAGAACACACAUUUUGGGCUCAUUGCUCCUACCUUAAUCAGAUACUGGCCAUUGGUGGACAUUGCCUUCUGCGCCCUGACCAGGAUUCACCAACUGGCUUAAAGCAAAAAGAACAGAUGGUAUUGCUACAAAAGAGCUGUGGCUGCAACUGAGAAUCAGCUAAAAAAGCUAUUGUGAAGCUUUUGGGUACUCAAUACAAACUGUGCCUAUUGGUAAUGUUUGGGAUUUGAGGGUAACAUGUCAUCUCUAUAGAAAAAAAGGCUUCAGAUUGGAUUCAGGGAAGUGAGAAAAAAAGCUCCCUCUUACCAUAUAAAGAAGGACCGGUCACGUGUAAUUCUGUUUGUAUAAAGAAGCGGGAAAAAAAAGGGUUGCAUAAGUGUAAAUAUUCAUCAAUUGUGUCUAAAAUCUGACCAAGGGAAUAAUAAUAGUGGUUGUCCGAAAAUUCUUUAGUUAUGCAUAUUUAGCUCAUUUGGCUUUUUUUCCAAGAUUACACUAACAUGAUCUAACUCAAGUAGAAGAAACAACAAAGCCAAUCACUUAAGCAACAACGCCUGUUUUAACAACAACUAAGCAACAUAUUCUCAAGUAUGUGAUUUGUAUACCUUUGGUUCUUCUUUACAAAAUUUGCCAUCUCCUCUCUUGCUCCCUCUUUCCCUUUCUUAUAGACGUUUAUCAAAGUUAGGAGUGUAUGUUUAGUAUUGGCUCCACUUAGCUGAUUGGGAACUGAAAUAUCUUUUAGAGAAGUGUAUUCCAAACAGCUCCUUCUCCUUCACUACAUACUUCAUGCACUAUCUUCAUUCUCUCUACCGAUUUGCAAAUCCCACUACAGCUCCAUUCAAAUGACGCCACACACACAUCGCCCGCCUCUGCCUUCCAUCUACAAUCUGUGAGGAUGUGAAUGGAAUGAACAUAACCAUUAGUAACAAGAGAGAUAGAGGAAGAUUGUGAUGUAAUUGAGCUAGACCUGGAGGAGUCCCACAACAGAAGUUGCGGUCAUCAAUAUGUUCAACCUCAAGACCGAUAAACCAUGACCCCAAAGACACAUCUUCAUUUGCAUACUUAUGCAAAAUUGGCCUGCAUACAAAGUUUUAAACCUUUUAGGACAAACAUUUGAUGUAAUACAGAAAUACAGAUGGAAGGCUCUUUAUGAAAAGGAUGCACGUACUGGUUGAUGGAUAUGUAUUUGGCAAGAUCCUUCGAGAUGGCAUAGAUCUGUCCUGUAGCAUGUCGAAAGUAUUUGUUACCAUCCUCUCCAAAUUUCCAAUACUCAGGUUCAUGGUACUUUACUGUCCUGAAUACAGUUCAAUAAACUAACUCAACAAUACUCUUAACCAGUAACACCAGAAAAAUUUGAAGCUGGACUCAGGCAAAUAGAAUUACUUUUGAGCAAGAACAGGCCCUGAUUUCAUACACCCAAUAUACACCCUCGGCUUUGAGCGGUGACGGACAAGUGUGGAAGCAAGCAUACCUGCAAGACAAAGUUUAAGAACUUUUUGAAGGAGAUAAAGGCAAAAAAAAAAGUAGAAGCAAGGUUUCUUACCGAGAUUGACGUGAACAUCAUCAUCGACCUUGAUAUAGAACUCUGCAUCCCAUUUAGCUACUGCAGUGGAAAAGAAUAUCUUGGUUUUUGCUGAGAGUUCGUGAUAUCCUUCAACAUGCUCCUGCAACCAAUAAGAAUUUUAAACAGGAAAAAAAGUGAAAAAUUGUAUCCUUUCAUAGAAAUGUAAAAUUUGUCUCACCAGCCUAAGGAAGUCUUUGUGUUGAGCAUCUUCUGAAUCAAUAGCUCUAUCCAAUAUACUAUUUGACGUCGCACUGCCAACACAUUUGUAUACACUUGAGUCAAUCUCAAUCUAAGAUACAUGAAAUUCCUAGAAUAUAUGAACCUCUGAGAGAAAGAGAAGCAGCUUCACCUGUGUCCAAUCAUGAACUUGAUGACAAUUCCCUUGUCUUGUUCUAGUUUUUCAAGCUUCUCCCCUGUGAAAAAUCCACAGCUCUUAACUAGAUCCAAGAAGCGGUAAAUAUGAACAAAGUUACAAUAACAUUAAGUUUUAAACAAAACCUUGAGGCAUCCAGGUUUCUCUAACUGAAUCACGCCGUUUUCUACUGCUAAAUGCGGUAUUAAUUCCCAUUACCAUAAACACUUUCUUCCUCGGGGUUUCUCCCGUUAAAGAGUUGGUUGUUUCCGAGCCAUCUUGAGAGGUCUUUGUAGAGGCCAACUGCAUUUCAAGCGUAGAAACCGACUUAUCCAACGACCUGUCACCCCUCCAAAGACAUAGAAAAAAAGCUAUAACAUAAAGAGAGAAAGCAAGUUGAUUUACAAGACACAAAAGAAGUCAAUUUUGUCACUCACUGUAUUGCUUCGUGAGUUCUCAAAACUUGGUCAAUUACAUCUUUUUCUUGAGUAGCUUUCUGCAUUUGAGCAAAUCAGAAGAAGAACCAUAAGUCUAAAACCCAAAUCUCUUUGAAACAGAAAAUCUUGGUUUUAACGAACACUAAAAACACAUAUUCUUGAAAUUUCUACUAAAGUGAAUAAAGAAGCAUACUUUAUUAUGAGCACAAUCGUCUGAUACAAUCUGAAGUUCAUGAUCACGACGGAGCUGUGAAAUUAGCUGACUUCCGGAAUCUGACGGCGGCUCCCAUGACCUGACAUCCCCAAAUUCCCACCAAUUGCAACAAAAGCAAGAAACCCAUUAAGAAAAAAUCAAACAGCAACAAAAAGGCAGAACAAGAAGAUUAUAGUAGAGGAGAAACAAAACGAUAAAAGAAGAAACUUUGAGAGACCUGGAGGUGAAGAUUGCUCCGAGAGCGAAGAAAGAGAUGCAGAGAAAUGGAACCCAUUUCAGAGAUAUUACUCUUUUGGAGACUUUGUGCUUCAUCGUGGUGGAGAUGUUGAAGGAAGAGAGAGUGAGAUCAGAAGAUGUCCAGAUUUAAAGGGAGAGAGAGAGAGACACAACACAAUCAACAACAUUUUAUCAUGGGAUGAGACCAAAUUAAAAUUAGUAAGUUUCCGAACAAAACUUUUUAUUACACUUUCUUGACUUUUAUUUAUGCAAAAUUUAAUGUUAUUCACACCGUCGAAUAUGAAACGUCAUUAAUUUUACAUAGAAACAAAUUAAUGGAAAAAAAAACAAUAACAACAACAUAGAAACAGAUGAUUUGGCAUUCGAAUUUGUGUGAAAAUUCUAACCUCGGAGUACAAAAUUAUUUUUCAUAUCAUAUCCCACUAAUUAGUCUAUGACAUUAAUAUUCACUUAAUUUUGUUUGUUUUUUUUUUUUUUUUUCUUUUACACUAACUUAAAAAGAAUUGAUUUCUCGGCUAAUGUAGAUUGCAUAGUAAACACCAAAAUGAAUUAUGGGAAAUGAUAGCACUGAUUGUACAUGAACCAUGAAUUAAAUAAAAUAAAUAGAACAAUAACGCGAAAGAUCAAUGAUGGUAUAAACUAUAGUUUAAUCUUUCUUUCUAUUUUUUUUAGUAACAACAAGAUCUAAACGAAUGUCUUAAUUAGAGAUGAAUUGUCAAAAAGGCAUUUUGAAUUGAAAAGUAAUUAGAGACCGUCAAAGAUGGUUAGGCGGAAGAAUGCGUGUCGGUUUCGUUGAUCGUGUCACUCACGUCGCACGCCGUGAUGUGUGGUUUCUAGGAUUUUGCAGACCUUUAUUCGAUCCAAUUAGGCCCAAUUCAACACAAUUUACCGUUUGAAUUGUUGUUUUUUAAAAACAUCUUAACGUUUGAAUUGUUAUGUUUUAGUACAUGUUUAUCGAUUAACCUAAAUUAAUUUUGGGGGCAAACUUGCCGAUAUAACACAUGUCUGAAAGUAACUAAAUUGAAUUGUUUAUGUUUAGUAAACAAUUCAAUUUACUCAACUAGAUGUUUUAGAAAAUAUAUGAUAUUAUUCUAUUGAUUUUCUAGAAUUAUUAGCAUUAGCAUUUUGUAUUAACAAUUGUAUGCAUAUUAUAUAAUGUACCAUUCAUGGGGAAUAAAUCAGUACGUAGCUCUUUCCUUCUUCACGUGAAAAAGGUCUGUGUGAUUUUCGAUUUUUCAUUAUAAGAUUGCUGCAUGCGUUAUUAAGUCUGUGCGAUAACAAAUACUCAUUCUUUUCCAGAUCACUAUAAAUAUAAACAAAUCAAACCUUCUCUAUCCAUCUUCUUAAUAUUUCGUCCUAUCUCUCUGGACGAAUUAAAGCUUAAUUAAUACAAGUGUUGCUAUAAUGUGCUUCUUGUUAUAUUAAUUAAUGAUUUUCUAAUAGAUUUUAAAACAUAGCUUAUGUGGAAUUUCGAACUAAUUAACUCCUGGUGCAGAUGGAAUUGAACCUACGAGAAUCAAUGAAUCAUGACCUAUGAGAUCACCAUAGAUUCAUAAUCUACGAGACCAACGUGACAAACAAAAGUCAAGAGCAAGGGCAAAAGCCCUAGAAAACUAGUGUUCGUAGAUCGAUUAGCCAUAUUUUGAUUCUUAUCUGUUAUCUAUGCUUUGAUUAAUAAUCGAAAUAUUGUUCAAUGUUAUAUUCAAAUUCGUAUUUUUUGUAGGCUCUAAAUGAAUCAGCUAAUUUUUGCCAAAACAUUCUCUUUCACCUGAUCAUUGCAAGUAAACAAUAAAAAAAAAAUUAAGGAUUAAUUUGAUUGGAUACCCAAAUCUUAUAAGAAAUUUGAAAUUUCUACUAAUUUUUUUUUAAUAUUUGAAUUUAUACUUAUAUCAAGAACCUGAUCUUAGCUCUCAAGAUCAACAUACAUAAUACAUUGAGUGAUUCCGGCCAUAUUGGAGAGCAAGGUUCAACCUAUCUUAGCAAUUAACCAGAUCAACACAAUUAAAACUAUUAAGACUUAAGAGUUCUCCAAAUUUAAACAUUUUAAUUUAGUACAAUCUUCGCUAAAUAUGUAUUGAACUGUUGAUCAUCGAUCUUAAAUGGUUUUAAGAAAGAGAUUAGUACUAAUUAAACAAGAAAACUAUCUGUAAAGUUAUGGAGUUGUUUUUUUCUUUCACCAUAUUAGUCGUCAUUUCUCAAAUAAUAUACCAAACUAUAAGCUAUUAGUGUUAUAUAUAUAUAUAUAUAUAUAUAUAUAUUGGUUGGGAAAUUAUUUUCUUAAGAAAAAAAGUUAGCUGUCAAGUUUUCUCUCAUGCAUGUACUGGUACAUUUUUCUUGCUAACAAGUAUGUUAAGAAAUGAAGUUAUGAAACAUAUUUUGGCAUUCUUCCUCCAAUUUGACACUUUAAACUUUAUUAUUGAUGAGCCUAAAUUGUUUUCAGAAAAGAUUCAAACUAAAACUGAAAAAUCAACGUAAAAUACAUAUCACAAUUUUUACAUAUUUUUGAAUUAGAAAAGCGAGGUUCCACCCAAUGACUCAGCAUUCUUUUUAAUUUUAAAAAAUCAUAUAAUUAAUAACUUCAGUUUCAUCAUAGUUUGGACCAAAAUUUUGAAGACUAGUACGAUCAGAGCAGCAUUGUGAUAUGUAUAUAUUAUAUAUCACCUGCAUCGUUUAAGAAAAAAUGGUUAUAAAUAAUAAAUAUGUGCUUUAAUCUUUUAUCAAGUUUAUCAAGAAAAAAAAAAAAAAUGCAUGUCUUAUGCUGCUUUGUUUGUAAUCGAGAACGUGUAACUGAAAUGCCAUAAUCCUGACUAUGAAAGGCCAAACAUAAAUGAUACACUGUUGUACUGGUGCCAAGUUCAUAUGGGGUUCCAAGAUGUUAGCACUUUAAUCAUGAACUAUUCAUGAGAACAUUCCAUUUACCUGCUGCCCCAAGAAUUCAUGGCUCAGGGUCUCCCAGCUCUCACCUUCCAAGCAAACCAAUUCAGCAUCCCCAUUAUCAAAAGCAAUCUGCAACAAAGCAAAAACAGAAAGUCGUGGCAUUUAGUGCAGGAGGAAAAAAAGGCAGACAAGGGGCCAAAGGAAAAGCCAGGCAAAGAUUUUAUACUACUAUUCUAGUUAUAUAACAAUAGAAUUUGCAACAGCAUUUUUAAUCAGGAGAGAAAUUAGGUAAAGACUGAUGAUAGAAGUUUGUUGCAGGAUAAUCUCAGAGCUCAUUUCAAGACUAGCGAUUGUAACCAAGCCGAAGAAGAAUCAGAGAAGAGUGAGAAACACAAAGAGUCCUUGGAACAUACAGAACACAGCGAGCAUGAGGCAGUGGAGAGCCAGAAUCAGAGAAACUCAUCGGACUGUUGCCAUUGUUAAAUCAGAGAUACAUGAAAAUUUUGAUUGAAAUGCAGCACAUACUGUAAUUCUGUGCCUUCAAGAGGACCUUUUGUAUCAUAUCAAAAAACAACAAUUUCUUCAGGUUGCAUCUGAUAGCCCAAAGGAGAAGAUGUAUAUAUGUUCAGCAAAUGGACUUUAGCAAGAUAUGUCACAUCCUUACAAAAAGCUUGGAAGCUCCUUUGUUGCGACUCCAACUCUGCAACCAUUUCAAAAGCACAACUGUUGCAGUUCCCCAAGUUGCCAAGUUCAUAAAUUGCACUCUUCUUUCUGUCUCUUUGUAUUUGAACAUCGAACCUCAUAAACUUUAACCUCUUCACCCUUCAAUAUGCUGGUCCCUUGUUGACUCCUCCUGAAAAUGUAAAGUUGCAUAUGUCCAUUCGUUUGCCAGCUUCUGAAACACUGGUUUUUUGUUGAUAUUGGCGUAGUUUAAGAGAGAUAAUUGAACCAACUGAAAACAGUAUGUAUCAUCUUGUUUGAACAGCAUUCUUCUUCAUGUUCUGUUGAACUGAACCAAGAGACUGUCUCUUGGUUAAGCAAAAUUCCCACUUGAGCAGUUGCAACAGCCCUGAAAUUGACCAAAUUCCAACCCUGAAAUUGUUUGUAGUUUAUUUGUGCCACAUUUGGUAGUUGAAAUCUUGUAUAUGUGGCUGUCUCUUCUUGGAUCAAAACCUCUUGUCUGCUUUUUACUUUAGUGCUUCUCUCUCCUUCUUCUGAUAAGCAUUUUAUCAAAGCACAACAUUUGGUCUUCACAGCAACUUCUUCGACAUGUGUUUCCAAACAUCAACGCCAAUAUCAGAUCGUAAAGCAUCCAAAUUGUGACUGCGAUCUGUUGUUCUUCACGAACGCAGGUGUGAAGUUACUGUCCAGGUGUAAAACGUUAUUGCUUGCUUACCCUUUCCAAUAGAACUUUGUUCCAAAGCAUUUCGGGUAUCAUAAAAUUAGAAUGAUGUUGACACAAUGCAGGACUUGCCUGGUCAUCUGACAUGCGCUAGUGAGUGAGGCUUAAUUUGUACAACGAUGAAUGAUGGCAGCAAAAAAUUUCAAUUACAAAUGAAAAGUGAAGGAAAAUAAUCACAAGUAAAAGAGAUCAAAAACAAGAAACAGUGAAAUCAAAACUUGGAUAGACGAAUUCAAUCAAAUAUUGUCUUGUUUUAGAAGAAGAGAAGAGUUCGGAUGUCGGCAGGUGGUAACUCAACGGAGCAAACAGGGCAUCGAGGAGUGUGCAACAAGUAACGAGAGAUACAAGUUGCGUGAAACAUGUGAUUGCAUUUUGUUUUAUGAACAAUCUCGUUUUCUUUCGGAUACCCUUUUUCACAGAGACAACACAAUUCCGAACUUUGGUAACAAUCUACGAUCUCCGUUGUUGGUGGAGCAAUUGGUACGAGUCUGGUUCUUGCAUCUUCAACACUCAGA
rnacentral:lncRNA from 1 species